GACGAACGCUGGCGGCGUGCUUAACACAUGCAAGUCGAACGUGAUUUUUGUGGAAAUUCUUUCGGGAAUGGAAAUGAAAUGAAAGUGGCGAACGGGUGAGUAACACGUGGGCAACCUACCUUACACAGGGGGAUAGCCGUUGGAAACGACGAUUAAUACCGCAUGAGACCACAGAAUCGCAUGAUAUAGGGGUCAAAGAUUUAUCGGUGUAAGAAGGGCUCGCGUCUGAUUAGCUAGUUGGAAGGGUAAAGGCCUACCAAGGCGACGAUCAGUAGCCGGUCUGAGAGGAUGAACGGCCACAUUGGAACUGAGACACGGUCCAAACUCCUACGGGAGGCAGCAGUGGGGAAUAUUGCACAAUGGGGGGAACCCUGAUGCAGCGACGCCGCGUGAGCGAAGAAGGUUUUCGAAUCGUAAAGCUCUGUCCUAUGAGAAGAUAAUGACGGUAUCAUAGGAGGAAGCCCCGGCUAAAUACGUGCCAGCAGCCGCGGUAAUACGUAUGGGGCGAGCGUUGUCCGGAAUUAUUGGGCGUAAAGGGUACGUAGGCGGUUUUUUAAGUCAGGUGUGAAAGCGUGAGGCUUAACCUCAUUAAGCACUUGAAACUGGAAGACUUGAGUGAAGGAGAGGAAAGUGGAAUUCCUAGUGUAGCGGUGAAAUGCGUAGAUAUUAGGAGGAAUACCGGUGGCGAAGGCGACUUUCUGGACCUUUACUGACGCUCAGGUACGAAAGCGUGGGGAGCAAACAGG
rnacentral:rRNA from 1 species